rnacentral:rRNA from 1 species
AAUCAACGCUGGCGGCGUGCCUAACACAUGCAAGUCGAACGCGAAAGUCCCGCAAGGGAUAAGUAGAGUGGCAAACGGGUGAGUAACACGUGGGUGACCUGCCUUCGAGUGGGGGAUAACGUCCCGAAAGGGACGCUAAUACCGCAUAACAUCCUGCCUUUUAAGAGGUGGAGAUCAAAGCUGGGGACCGCAAGGCCUGGCGCUGGAAGAGGGGCCCGCGUCUGAUUAGCUAGUUGGUGAGGUAACGGCUCACCAAGGCAACGAUUAGUAUCCGGCCUGAGAGGGCGGACGGACACACUGGGACUGAGACACGGCCCGGACUCCUACGGGAGGCAGCAGUGGGGAAGUUGUUCGCAAUGGGCGCAAGCCUGACGACGCAACGCCGCGUGGAGGAUGAAGACC